AACGCGAAGAACCUUACCUAGGCUUGACAUGCACUGGAAACUCCCAGAGAUGGGAGCCCCCGAAAGGGCCGGUGCACAGGUGCUGCAUGGCUGUCGUCAGCUCGUGUCGUGAGAUGUUGGGUUAAGUCCCGCAACGAGCGCAACCCUUACUGCCAGUUAGGAUGUCUGGCGGGACUGCCGGGAGAAACCCGGAGGAAGGCGGGGAUGACGUCAAGUCAGCACGGCCCUUACGCCUAGGGCUACACACACGCUACAAUGGCCGCGACAACGCGCAGCAAACCCGCGAGGGGGAGCGAAUCGCAUCAAACGCGGUCUCAGUUCGGAUUGCAGGCUGCAACUCGCCUGCAUGAAGUCGGAGUUGCUAGUAACCGCUGGUCAGCACACAGCGGUGAAUAUGUUCCCGGGUCUGUACACACCG
rnacentral:rRNA from 1 species